rnacentral:rRNA from 1 species
UACGUAGGGUGCAAGCGUUGUCCGGAAUCAUUGGGCGUAAAGAGCGCGUAGGCGGCCCGAUAAGUCCGCUGUGAAAGUCAAGGGCUUAACCCUUGAAUGCCGGUGGAAACUGUCGGGCUAGAGUCCGGAAGAGGCGAGUGGAAUUCCUGGUGUAGCGGUGAAAUGCGCAGAUAUCAGGAGGAACACCUAUUGCGAAGGCAGCUCGCUGGGACGUAACUGACGCUGAGACGCGAAAGCGUGGGGAGCAAACAGG